CCGCGUUGCCCCCGAGUGGCCAAGUCCCCGAGGAAGUUCUGAGCCGGCCAAUUAGAGGGGAGCCUGGCCGGAAAGACUGCGCUGCGGAGAGGAAGUGCAGGGAGGAGGCGUAUUCCGGGCCAGCGUGGAGCUUCCCCAUGAGACUGGUGCUAUUAUUCCCAUUUUACAGAUGAUGAGAUGAGACGCUGGCUCUGGGAGGGCCAGAAAGAGGCGGAAAGCGACACUGAGAAUCCAUUCCAAACGAGCAGCCAAGAGGAGAUGCGGUAGCUCCCAGAUGUUGAUGUUUUGUUUUUUGACAUAAAUCUUUGCACUCA